AGUUAAUGGACGAUCCUUCUUCUCUUUCCCCAUUCAACUCAUUACAGUCAAGGAUAUCAGGAGGAAUCUGGAACUUGUGUUAACCUAAAAUCUGCUGGGAAACAUCGUUAUCUAAAGCCCUUGAACCACUCAUCCUGCUACAGUUCUCUGUGCACGACUGGAAGCUCCGUGUGGGAGGAGAACAGGUACCGACUCUGUGGCAUUGCACUCUGCCGAGUGCUUACACCGUGCCGCGCACCUCAAGCGCUCAGUGAAUACAACGGAUUGAUCGAGGAGCUUACAGUCGAGUGGAAAGGACUCUUUCUUCAAGAGAAGGUCAUGGCGGAUCACGGGACGCUAACGCCAGUCAUCAUUACGAUGACGGUAUUUAAGUGCUUACUUGAACGCCACGUCGUCGAAAGAAAAAAACGCCAAGCUCUGUUCACCCAGUAAGCGCUCAGAACGACUCCGCUGGGGACCCGGAUCCCGAAGGAAUCGAGAAGUCCAUCGGAGUUGUCCUCCCAACAGCUCUUCUAGCAGUCUCAGCUGCAAAACGAUGCCAGGGUGUGUGAGCCCUGCACCGCUCUCCGGACUCAGUCCUUCCUUACAAGCUGCAAGAAGGCCCCGCGCCCCGCUGCCCUGUCGCGUUGUUAGCUGCGGGCCGAGACACCGAAAAUCCCCCCCGGAAAGCCGAACCCGUUGCUUUCCCCGUCUUACCGUACCGAGAGAACUCAUUAGCAGAGAAGAAAGGUGUGUCCCGUUCCGUGCCCGCAGAGCGUCCCGGAGGCCGGGGUCGAUCCUUCCGAUGUGACAGUGACGUCGGUAUUUGUUAAGCGCCGCCGACUGCGUGCCGAGCGCCGUUCCGAGCGCGGCGGUAGA